UGCUGGUUGAUGGUUCA
rnacentral:misc_RNA from 1 species